rnacentral:rRNA from 1 species
AUUGAACGCUGGCGGCAGGCCUAACACAUGCAAGUCGAGCGGAUGAAGGGAGCUUGCUCCUGGAUUCAGCGGCGGACGGGUGAGUAAUGCCUAGGAAUCUGCCUGGUAGUGGGGGAUAACGUCCGGAAACGGGCGCUAAUACCGCAUACGUCCUGAGGUAGAAAGUGGGGGAUCUUCGGACCUCACGCUAUCAGAUGAGCCUAGGUCGGACUAGCUAGUUGGUGGGGUAAAGGCCUACCAAGGCGACGAUCCGUAACUGGUCUGAGAGGAUGAUCAGUCACACUGGAACUGAGACACGGUCCAGACUCCGACGGGAGGCAGCAGUGGAGAAUAUUGGACAAUGGGGGAAAGCCUGAUCCAGCCAUGCCGCGUGUGUGAAGAAGGUCUUCGGAUUGUAAAGCACUUUAAGUUGGGAGGAAGGGCAGUAAGUUAAUACCUUGCUGUUUUGACGUUACCAACAGAAUAAGCACCGGCUAACUUCGUG